GAUUAACAUUCCUGUGGCUCCAGGAUAACUGGGAGCCUAGGCCAUUUUCUGCUUCAGCUGAGACUUGGAGAUUACCUUGGAUGACUGCCCAGUAAAAUAACCAACAGACAUCAUUGUUCAGACUUGCCCUAGGAGCAGAACCAGGUUUGGGUUUGGGAUUUAAGCUCUACCAGUCCAGGGAUCGAGUAGCUGCUAUGGCUCUGUUUCACACCCUCUCAGCUCUCAGGAGCGUCCAGCAGCCUCACAACAGGAGCACCAUGAUGACAGGAGGAAAAGACAGCUGGGCUGCUAAGCAGCAGCAGACGGGACUUCACGUGGUAUAACUACACAUUGGGUGUUGCUUUGUUUAAUGUCUGUCUCUGCCAUGAAAUGCAAGCCCUAUAAGGGCAGAGCCUGUGCCUUUUGCUCAUUGUUCUUUCCCAGCACCUGGAACACUACAUGCACAUAACAGGCCCUUAAUAAAGAUUUGG